rnacentral:rRNA from 1 species
GAUGAACGCUAGCUACAGGCUUAACACAUGCAAGUCGAGAGGUAACGAGAGGAAAGCUUGCUUCCCUUGUCGACGACCGGCGCACGGGUGAGUAACGCGUAUCCAACCUGCCCCCAACUAGGGAAUAACCUUGCGAAAGUAAGACUAAUACCCUAUAAUUUCCUCAGAUGACAUCUGACGAGGAAUAAAGAUUUAUCGGUUGUGGAUGGGGAUGCGUCUGAUUAGCUUGUUGGCGGGGUAACGGCCCACCAAGGCAACGAUCAGUAGGGGUUCUGAGAGGCAGGUCCCCCACAUUGGAACUGAAACACGGUCCAAACUCCUACGGGAGGCAGCAGGGAGGAAUAUUGGUCAAUGGGCGGAAGCCUGAACCAGCCAAGUAGCGUGCAGGAUGACGGCCCUAUGGGUUGUAAACUGCUUUUAUACAGGAAUAAAGUUAGCCACGUGUGGUUAUUUGUAGGUACUGUAUGAAUAAGGACCGGCUAAUUCCGUGCCAGCCGCCGCCGCAG